AGGUAUUGUGAUGAAUAUCGCGUCGUUCAAGUUUGUUCAACUGUAUAAAUUAGGAUUUGUUGUUUUGCGUCGGUUUUUGUUUUGUUUACCGGAUUUUUGAGAUUGAUUCAACUUUGUGAGUGAUAGAGAGCUGAUCUGAUUUGAUUAUGUCUUCCUUUAGGGUUGUGGAGAUUUGAUUAGUCUCUUUCUGUAGAAUCAUCGAAGUUUUAAAGUUUAGGUUUUGUUAUAUGAUUAUAUUUGGAUUUGGAUGUUGUUAUUGAUUUAACGAGUACAUUAUUUUCUGGAUACUAUUCGGGGCCGUUGAGCUGGA
rnacentral:misc_RNA from 1 species